UACGAAGGGGGCUAGCGUUGCUCGGAAUCACUGGGCGUAAAGGGUGCGUAGGCGGUUUGGUAAGUCUGAUGUGAAAUCUAUGGGCUCAACUCAUAGUCUGCAUCGGAAACUGCCGGGCUUGAGUGUGGGAGAGGUGAGUGGAAUUCCUGGUGUAGCGGUGAAAUGCGUAGAUAUCAGGAGGAACACCUGUGGCGAAAGCGGCUCACUGGACCAUAACUGACGCUGAUGCACGAAAGCUAGGGGAGCAAACAGG
rnacentral:rRNA from 1 species